rnacentral:rRNA from 1 species
UACAGAGGUCUCGAGCGUUAGGCGGAAUCACUGGGCUUAAAGCGUGUGUAGGCGGAUCGUUAAGUGCCUUGUGAAAUCCCACGGCUCAACCGUGGAACUGCUUGGCAUACUGGCGGUCUUGAGCAACCUAGGGGCGAGCGGAACAAAUGGUGGAGCGGUGAAAUGCGUAGAUAUCAUUUGGAACGCCAAUGGUGAAAACAGGUUGCUGGGAGUGUGCUGACGCUGAGACAUGAAAGCCAGGGGAGCGAACGGG